GCAGACUAUUCACCAAGUCGUCCAUUAGAAGUAGAGAUGGAGCAGUUGGUAGUCUCCACCGAUCAAUUUUCGUCCCACCUCUCCUGGUUUUUUGGGUACCUCCUCCCAUCUCUGACUUAUUCACCAGAAACCGAAAAAACCUCCUCCUAAGGCCCUAACCCGCAUCCAUCCAUAUAAAAAAAUAGACCUACGAAGGUUAACCAACGAAAAAAGACCUAAGAAGAAGGUUAACCCAUGAAAAAAAACCACGGCAUGCACCAGCGAGCGAGCGAGCGAGGCCUCGACCUCGAGGGAACCACGCCAUCGCACUCGCAUUCCGCCGCCGCCGCUCCCUGCGCUACCUCGACGGAAGCCAUCGCAAAUCCAUCCCUUCGCCGCCGCCCUCGCGCUCGCAUGAUCGAGGCCUCCAGAGUAUCCUCGAUCCCCGCGUUACCCGUUCGCCGCAGCCGAUCCCGCCGCCGCGGGAGAGAUGAGCUGAUCUCCAUGGCCAGAUGAGGAAGGAAUACGGGUGACGGGAUGGAUUUGGAUCUCAAGUUGGGGAGGCCAACGUAGCCGCCCCUAGCGCGUCGAGCGAAAGCGAAGGAUUUGGAUCUCAUGGAUUUGGCUGCGUCGACCAGCAGAGGACCGCCGCCGGCUCGGCUCCUCCACCACGAAGCGACCUCCUUCCACCCCGUAGCCGCCGCCCGAAACCCUAGCAAUCGAGCCCCACCCAUGGUGCCCUAGGUGGUACAGCGGCCAGAGGAGAGGAAGUGGAGCAGCAAUCGCCUGGACGUGAGGUGAGCUUCCCCCAUCCAAUCUUAUCCACCCUCACCCCCAGGUGGCUCACAAUAUCUAUCACCUGCAGCAGCAUCUUGUGCAUGCAUCCAUUGAGGACGUGAGGUGCACACCACAUUUUGGUUCAGUUUUUCCCUUCUUUAUUAUAAUUAUGCCAAGGACAUCUUAUGCCUUACAGUAGUAUUCAAAUUCUCAAGUUUGUUUAUUUAUUUUUAGUGCAAUACUGCUCUCUUGUCUGCAGGAGAUUGGAGGAAAAAAUAUCAGAAAUCGGAGACAUGACGUUUUGGUUCAGUUCUGGAUCAUUUUCUUUUUUGGUUCAGUUUAUAUAAGUGGUUGUUGUUUUAUGUUGCUGCUAGCCAUCAGAAAACGAGUUCACAGUAGGUUUCCAUUUUGUGUUGCUCUGAACUGAAAAAAUAGAGGGGAUGUUGUUAUGCCUAGCGUGAAGUUCACAGUAGGUUUGGCAUCAAUUGAGCAAACUUUGUUACAGUUUUUAGUGGCUGUUGUAUGUAUUACAUUUUUGCUUUUUCUAAAACCACAUGUAUCCUAUAAUCUGAUUGCUUUUCUUUGUCUGAGCAACAGUGUCUGAGCUUUCCCUCCACUAUUUUUUCCCCUCUCUCUCUCUCUCUCUCUCUUUCUCUCUCUCUCACUCAAUCUCAACUUGGCAAGCGAUGGCGGCGGUGAAUGGGCAGCGCGGGCGUCGAGCAGGAUCAUGGGGGAGCAGGGGAGGCCAGAGGCUGCUCACCAUAUACAUCACCAUCCAUAGCCGCCCUCGUCCGCCAAGAAGCUGAGGAGGGAGGCUAACCUCCAGUGACCACUCUACACCGCUCUGGACGACACCCUCCCCACCAGAUUUAUUCACCUUAUUGGGACGGUGGGGUUAAUAUAUAUACAUCAAUUUUGAGCAUCAGCAACGCAUGAAGCUUGCUUCUGAGGCUGCAACAUGUUUUAUCAGCACAGGUUCAGAGAUAACUUUAAUGAGUAAACAAAUAAUUUUCAUGCAGGUCAGUUCUGAUGUGUGUUGAAUAGCUCAAUUUUGUUUUGAUCUGCUACGUUUAGUCAUUGUUUGCUCUAGCAUCAACACUAACUGUCACACGCACGCCGCCCCAUGGACGCCCCUGACUGAGGUGCGGGUCGGUGCUUGCCGUCGGUCCAUCCGCAUCGGCGCAGUGGCAUGUACCCCUUGAAAGCUUUGAAGCCUGAAAAAGCCGCAGGACCAGAUCUUCCCAUCAACCUGAAGAUGUGAAGUACGCUGCGUCUCCUGGUAUUUGUGUUGCUUCCGCUGGAUGACGCUCUAUUGUCGUUGUUGCCUCAGCCCUCCCAAUUGUCGUGUUCUUCCCUUCUCUUGCUGCUCGAUGAGAUGACUAGAGCACCUUGUGGUGACUUUGUUCUCUGGGCUGCUCGCGAUGUAGUUCUAGAGCAGCUUCAGCGGCAAGAUGCCAUAGUUUCCUAAUUACUACGAUGAUUUGCUGGAUGAGGAGGUGGGUGAGAUGAUGCACAAGGAGGUUGCCGCCGGUCAGAGGAGGAGGGCGAGAAGGCUGGAGAGCCGAGGCAGAGGCUUACAGGGAAGAGAAGAAACGACACCUUAUACAUACAGGAUACCCGCUCCCAGGUGCCAGGAGGACAGCCGGGGCUGACGGAGGUAUGCUCGGAUCACUUAUAGAGAUCUGGAGAGGAAAGUUUGUUCCUUCCUUACAAGAGCCAUAUAAACAAUAAGGAAAAGCUCUUUCCUAGCAUAAGCGGUGACAUACUUGGGACACCAAGAAUAGGAUUGCGGCGGGGUUGGCCAAAGGACUGCACUACUUGCACUUUUUGUACAGCCCAGGAUACCAUAUUGCAACCUAAGGCCAUUGUGUUUAUUUGGCAACGGGCAAAAGCCAAGGCGCCGCCGGCGAUGCGCUAUCGUUCAGGUGCAUCAUCAAGGCCCAUCUUGGCGUGAGCAUGAGGUUGCGCGCUGAAUAUCAUCUCUGUCGGCUGCACCUUAUCGAUAGGACGGAAGAUGAGAUGUGUGGACCACCGUUUAUUGGUUGGAGAGAAAUUUUUGUGGGGAGGUGAGACGAUGUAUAUGGGCUAGGAAAGUGCGUCGUCUGUUUCAGAAGCGGAAGAGCAAAACAAUUUCGGGCUAGACGGCUGGCGUUGAGUCUUGACUGUUAGGCUUACGGAACUGCUGGAUGAGAGUACAGUAGAGGCAAGCAUAGCCCCGCAAACAAAUAGGAAAAAUAAAAUAAUUGAUGAUGGAGUUUAUAGGUCAGGCCUGAGGAGGUGGGCUUGAGUGGGACUGCAUGAGAUAUGACGUGGCUCGAUGUGAUUAGAUGCUGAGGUGUCUAUGCUACAUGUUGAGAUAAAUCAAGUAGUGGGGGUGAACUUCUUAAAUAUAUAGGAUUUGGCAACGCAUGGGUAUUACACCCAAUGUAGUGCCAUAAAUCUCAUCGUAUCAUAUAACCCUCAUCAUCUAAUAUUGUAUAUAUUCAUAUAUUGAUGCAUCAAGGGGCUGCUAAUUGUUGCGAAGUGACAUCUGCAUUGCCAACAGAGCAAAUAAAGUUAGUGCGAAGAAGACACGCGUCAGGGAGGAAGUAGGGCAUGCACAAUGGAAUGUGGAUAUAUUUAGGAUGUGAUGAAAAACUGCAUGCUAUAGCAGAGAGACUUGGAUUGGAGGCAAGUCGAGUUAUGGGCGGAGAUGAGAUGACGAAGACAAGAUGAAGACUUGUGGCGGAAAAAACACACGACAUGAUUUAGACAACAAGGGUGCCAUUCCUCCUCACUGUGCCACAUCGGCGUGCUCGAUGUUGACGAUGAGGGUGCCGUCUCUCCACCUCGUUGUGCCACACCAUUGUGCCUCAUGUAAACGAUGUGGGCGUCAUUCCUCCUCGCCGCGUCACACCUUUGUGCCAGUUGUAGAGACGAGGGCGCUGUCAGCGGCGAGCCUUUCUGCACCGAACAAUAGGAUCCAGCUGACUAGGAUGCCUGAUUGGCGAGCGCAUGGGCUCCAUGCUGAUGUGGUGGCGGGAGGGGUUGCCAUCAGAGAAGGAGGCCAACGAUGCCAUAGCGGGGAGAGGAGGAUGUGGGUACAGGCUCGACCGGGGGAAGGGGGGAUGGCAGGGAUAGGAUGGGUCGACCGAUGCCGUGAAAGGGUGAAGACGAUUCGCCACACCAACGAUGGAAGGGAGGCGGCGGGGAAAGGCGCGGACGCGCGGAUGUGAGGAGAGAGAGUUCUGCGUGAAGCCAAAUAUUCAGAUGUUGGCAACACUGUUUGAUAGCAUACUUGGGGUGACUUGUUAAGUAAGGUCUCUUGUCCAUUGUUUCAUGAUUUAUGGUUUCUAAUAUAUACCACUUGUGGAUUUAUUUUUUAUAUGCAUUCAUCGCCCGAUACAUAUUGUACUUCAGCAACAAACUUGUACACCGUGUGUAUAUUUUAGACCCUAUCCAUACAUCAUAGUCGCCAGAGAUUAAAACUCUGAGUCAUUUAGUGAAAUUACAAGAUUUUGCGAGGCAAUUCAACGAUGCACUCAAAAUUGCGAUCCCGGCUGAAAUUCCGACAUAUCUAAAUUACAAAGUAUAUUUUUGUUGGUAUUCCAAUGAGCAUGAAUGGAUAAAUUUAUAUAUUUUAUUAUCAUAACAUGCAAGAUACAUGCAUUUAUUUUUGUUAGCACCACAUUCAAGAUAAUAUUAAUUUAGGAAAUUGCAAGGACGUGUCUGACUAUUUUGUUGUUGAUUUUAUGCCCUCAUGAAAUAAUAAAGAAUUGGUUCAUCCGGUUUGCACGAUGAGUAUUCUCCGUUGCAUAUUUUUAGACCUUUUCCACAUAAAGUACUCAUACUAGGUAGAUAUAUUGCUUGUGCUGGAUGGUUAUGAGUUGAGAAAGAAGUUUUUAUUAUAUUUGCUCAAAUAUCGUGCGAAUGAUGCUAAAGACAAUAUUCUGACAUUGAUCUUAUUUGUAACAGAUUAAUAGUUGGAUCAUUGAUUUCUAUGUAUACAUCGUCUAAUUUUUUUAUCAAAUUACAUUGCAAGUAAAGUGGGCAUCAAUUAUUAUCCGAUUGUUACUAGCUAUUUUUUCUAUACAUGAAAAUUUUAACAUGCAUUACGUUUAUAUAACUUUUAAAAAUAAUAAUUAAUCAGCGUA